UACGUAGGGCGCAAGCGUUAUCCGGAAUUAUUGGGCGUAAAGAGCUCGUAGGCGGUUUGUCGCGUCUGCCGUGAAAGCCCGGGGCUUAACCCCGGGUCGGCAGUGGAUACGGGCAGGCUAGAGGUAGGUAGGGGAGAAUGGAAUUCCCGGUGUAGCGGUGAAAUGCGCAGAUAUCGGGAGGAACACCGGUGGCGAAGGCGGUUCUCUGGGCCUUACCUGACGCUGAGGAGCGAAAGCAUGGGGAGCGAACAGG
rnacentral:rRNA from 1 species